GACGAACGCUGGCGGCGUGCUUAACACAUGCAAGUCGAACGGAAAGGCCCUGCUUGCAGGGUACUCGAGUGGCGAACGGGUGAGUAACACGUGGGUUAUCUGCCCUGCACUUCGGGAUAAGCCUGGGAAACUGGGUCUAAUACCGGAUAGGAGCCAUUUUUAGUGUGAUGGUUGGAAAGUUUUUUCGGUGUAGGAUGAGCUCGCGGCCUAUCAGCUUGUUGGUGGGGUAAUGGCCUACCAAGGCGGCGACGGGUAGCCGGCCUGAGAGGGUGGACAGCCACAUUGGGACUGAGAUACGGCCCAGACUCCUACGGGAGGCAGCAGUGGGGAAUAUUGCACAAUGGGCGCAAGCCUGAUGCAGCGACGCCGCGUGGGGGAUGACGGCCUUCGGGUUGUAAACUCCUUUCGCUAGGGACGAAGCGUUUUGUGACGGUACCUAGAGAAGAAGCACCGGCUAACUACGUG
rnacentral:rRNA from 1 species